GUGUUAUCUGUGUAAUGACAAAACACAAAAAAAAUACCAUACGACUUAAAUAAUAAUAAUAUAUUACUAUAAAAAAAGUUGUAUGUCAGUGCUUAGUAGUGUAAAGCUUAGUAUUGUUUUCUUCAUUAUUUAUUAACGAACCAAAAAUUAACAUUAAAUACGAAAUUCAGCGGAAGUUUAAAAAACAAUUGAUUUCAGACUUGGCAGCCGUUCGAUUACGGUACACAUCUUGAGACAGACGUGAAAUACGAAAAAAACUUUAUAUAGUAGAUAAGAAUACAGGUUAAAAGAUCUUCAUCAAGCUUAAUUAAAUCUGAAUUUUCGAUUCAGCAUUUGAUUCAAACGAAUAAUGCGUAUCUGAUUGCAAUUUCAAAAUGAUAUUUCCAAAGGCGGUGUACGUAUUUUGAAUAGAAUGAUUGAUAAUAAUUAUUUGUGGCCAGCUUAACACAUUAAUAUUUGUGAUGUAAUAUGUCCUGUGAAGAAACGGUGGAAUAAAUUCAUCGGGUUCGCCAGGUACUCUUCAGAAUUAGUCACGUUGAACAGAAAGACCCUCGUAUAAAGCUGGACUUCAGGUUUCCUCCACAUCUCGAAGAUUUCGCCCCCAUCCUGCAGAAGGACUUUCUGUGGACAGAAACAUGGUCCCAUGCACGUCCACUGCUGGACAUAGGCCUCCCCCAAGCCUCGCCACAAAGACCGGUCCUGCGCUGCCUGCAUCCAGCGGAUCUCCGCGAACCUCAAUAGGUCGUCGGCCCACCUUGUGGGAGGCCUACCCACGCUACGUCUCCCAGUACGCGGUCGCCACUCAAGAACCUUCUGGCCCCAACGGCCAUCUGUUCCGCGAGCAAUGUGUCCUGCCCACUGCCACUUCAUUUAAUUUAAUUCUCAUAAUGUUACCGUAAUUAUGAGUACAGUAAAUUUAUUGUCACGACAACAGGCACGUGGUCCUAUAACUAUAUAUUCGUAAAAACUGUUAAAUUAGGAGUUAUACAUUAAAAACUACCCCAAAUCACUGGUAUCGCUGGUUCGAUAUUCAAAUUCUAACUUGUUUUCUAUUUUUCCAGUAAUGCCUGUUGAAAUUCGGCAUAUUUAUUUAAUCAGUGCAAUAAUAAAAGAAAACUAACUCGAUAUUAGAACAUUAUUAAAAACAAACGAAGUACGAUUCCUAAGCUUUUAAAAAAAGUUCCUAUUUAAAUUGUCAACCGUGUUGGCGUUAUCAAAUGCGUAAAAUGAAAAAUAUAGUUAAAUGAAUAUUAUAUAAUAUUAUCAAUAAACCAGUGAUUGACUUGAUUGUGAUGAA